AUCAACGCUGGCGGCGCGCUUAACACAUGCAAGUCGAACGAGAAAGUGGAGCAAUCCAUGAGUAAAGUGGCGUACGGGUGAGUAACACGUGGGUAAUCUGCCUCUGGGUGGGGAAUAACUCUGGGAAACCGGAGCUAAUACCGCAUAAGCCUGAAAAGGGAAAGGUGCAAAUCGCCGAGAGAGGAGCCCGCGGCCGAUUAGCUUGCUGGUGAGGUAACGGCUCACCAGGGCGAAGAUCGGUAGCCGGCCUGAGAGGGCACACGGCCACACUGGCACUGAAACACGGGCCAGACUCCUACGGGAGGCAGCAGUGGGGAAUCUUGCACAAUGGGGGAAACCCUGAUGCAGCGACGCCGCGUGAGCGAUGAAGCCCUUCGGGGUGUAAAGCUCUUUCGGCAGGAACGAUAGUGACGGUACCUGCAGAAGAAGCUGCGGCUAACUACGUGCCAGCAGCCGCGGUAAUACGUAGGCAGCGAGCGUUGUUCGGAGUUACUGGGCGUAAAGAGUGCGUAGGCGGUUCUCUAAGUCUGGUGUGAAAUCCCCCGGCUCAACCGGGAGGGUGCGCCGGAAACUGGAGGGCUUGGAGUGUGGGAGAGGCAGGCGGAAUUCCCGGUGUAGCGGUGAAAUGCGUAGAUAUCGGGAGGAACACCUGUGAUGUAGAUGGCCUGCUGGACCACAACUGACGCUGAGGCACGAAAGCGUGGGGAGCGAACGGGAUUAGAUACCCCGGUAGUCCACGCCCUAAACGAUGUGCACUAGAUCGCGGGGGCUCUGACGCCAUCGUGGUCGAAGAAAAAUUGAUAAGUGCACCGCCUGGGGAGUACGGUCGCAAGGCUAAAACUCAAAGGAAUUGACGGGGGCUCACACAAGCGGUGGAGCAUGUGGCUCAAUUCGAAGCAACGCGAAGAACCUUAUCCUGGGCUUGACAUGCGCGGAUUAGUCCCGGGAAACCGGGAUAACACUCGCAAGAGUGGAACGCGCACAGGUGCUGCAUGGCUGUCGUCAGCUCGUGCUGUGAAGUGUCGGGUUAAGUCCCUUAACGAGCGAAACCCCUAUCUCCAGUUGCUACUCCCGACGCGUCGGGAAGGACUCUGGCGAGACUGCCGGUGUCAAACCGGAGGAAGGUGGGGAUGACGUCAAGUCCUCAUGGCCCUUAUGCCCAGGGCUGCACACGUGCUACAAUGGCGCGAACAAAGCGACGCGAGACCGCAAGGUGGAGCAAAUCGCAAAAAACGCGCCCCAGUUCAGAUCGAGGUCUGCAACUCGACCUCGUGAAGUUGGAAUCGCUAGUAAUCGCGGAUCAGCUACGCCGCGGUGAAUAUGUUCCUGAGCCUUGUACACACCGCCCGUCAAGUCAUGGGAGCCGGGAAUACCCGAAGUCGCCCCGAUUCAGGGGUGCCGACGGUAGGCUCGGUGACUGGGACUAAGUCGUAACAAG
rnacentral:rRNA from 1 species